rnacentral:rRNA from 1 species
AUUGAACGCUGGCGGCAUGCCUUACACAUGCAAGUCGAACGGUAACAGGUCUUCGGAUGCUGACGAGUGGCGAACGGGUGAGUAAUACAUCGGAACGUGCCCGAGAGUGGGGGAUAACGAGGCGAAAGCUUUGCUAAUACCGCAUACGAUCUCAGGAUGAAAGCAGGGGACCGCAAGGCCUUGCGCUCACGGAGCGGCCGAUGGCAGAUUAGGUAGUUGGUGGGAUAAAAGCUUACCAAGCCGACGAUCUGUAGCUGGUCUGAGAGGACGACCAGCCACACUGGGACUGAGACACGGCCCAGACUCCUACGGGAGGCAGCAGUGGGGAAUUUUGGACAAUGGGCGCAAGCCUGAUCCAGCCAUGCCGCGUGCAGGAUGAAAGCCUUCGGGUUGUAAACUGCUUUUGUACGGAACGAAAAGACUCCUUCUAAUAAAGGGGGUUCAUGACGGUACCGUAAGAAUAAGCACCGGCUAACUACGUGCCAGCCGCCGCCGUAAAAC